GAUGAACGCUGGCGGCGUGCCUAAUACAUGCAAGUCGAGCGAACAGACGAGGAGCUUGCUCCUCUGACGUUAGCGGCGGACGGGUGAGUAACACGUGGAUAACCUACCUAUAAGACUGGGAUAACUUCGGGAAACCGGAGCUAAUACCGGAUAAUAUAGUGAACCGCAUGGUUCAAUAGUGAAAGACGGUUUUGCUGUCACUUAUAGAUGGAUCCGCGCCGCAUUAGCUAGUUGGUAAGGUAACGGCUUACCAAGGCAACGAUGCGUAGCCGACCUGAGAGGGUGAUCAGCCACACUGGAACUGAGACACGGUCCAGACUCCUACGGGAGGCAGCAGUAGGGAAUCUUCCGCAAUGGGCGAAAGCCUGACGGAGCAACGCCGCGUGAGUGAUGAAGGUCUUCGGAUCGUAAAACUCUGUUAUUAGGGAAGAACAAAUGUGUAAGUAACUAUGCACGUCUUGACGGUACCUACUCAGAAAGCCACGGCUAACUACGUG
rnacentral:rRNA from 1 species